rnacentral:misc_RNA from 1 species
GGGAUCUGUAUGUAAGUCGGCGCGGUUGACAAAAUGUUGUGACGAAUUAACUCCUUCCUUAAUGGACUGGAGCAGUAAAUUAAAAUGUUCGAGGCAAACUCACUUCUUCCUGCUGUAAUAUUUAGCUGCCAGGGUACUUACGAUGCCUGCUGUGAUUGACUUCAAAUAUCACGGUGGGUAUUAAUGAUGCAGUAAACUCACUUCUCACUUCUUUCUACUAUAAUGCACGCCACUGCCAGGAUACCGAUGAUGGGGAUGACGCGAUCCACCACUCCUCCCACCCGAAGCUUCCCAAUUGUUGCCUCGAGUAGGGACUCUAUUGCCCCCUGUCUGCAUCCAAUUCAUCGUUUGGGAGCCUAAUCCAUUAAGUUCU